CUUAAAGAACGUAUGUUAAAAGUAGCACUUUUAAGAUCGGUCAUAAAAUAAACGAUUUUAAAAGUAGCACUUUUAAAAUCGGUUCUUAAA
rnacentral:miRNA from 1 species